CGGGACACGUGGUAUCCUGUCUGAAUAUGGGGGGACCAUCCUCCAAGGCUAAAUACUCCUGACUGACCGAUAGUGAACCAGUACCGUGAGGGAAAGGCGAAAAGAACCCCGGCGAGGGGAGUGAAAAAGAACCUGAAACCGUGUACGUACAAGCAGUGGGAGCACGCUUAGGCGUGUGACUGCGUACCUUUUGUAUAAUGGGUCAGCGACUUAUAUUCUGUAGCAAGGUUAACCGAAUAGGGGAGCCGAAGGGAAACCGAGUCUUAACUGGGCGUUAAGUUGCAGGGUAUAGACCCGAAACCCGGUGAUCUAGCCAUGGGCAGGUUGAAGGUUGGGUAACACUAACUGGAGGACCGAACCGACUAAUGUUGAAAAAUUAGCGGAUGACUUGUGGCUGGGGGUGAAAGGCCAAUCAAACCGGGAGAUAGCUGGUUCUCCCCGAAAGCUAUUUAGGUAGCGCCUCGUGAAUUCAUCUCCGGGGGUAGAGCACUGUUUCGGCAAGGGGGUCAUCCCGACUUACCAACCCGAUGCAAACUGCGAAUACCGGAGAAUGUUAUCACGGGAGACACACGGCGGGUGCUAACGUCCGUCGUGAAGAGGGAAACAACCCAGACCGCCAGCUAAGGUCCCAAAGUCAUGGUUAAGUGGGAAACGAUGUGGGAAGGCCCAGACAGCCAGGAUGUUGGCUUAGAAGCAGCCAUCAUUUAAAGAAAGCGUAAUAGCUCACUGGUCGAGUCGGCCUGCGCGGAAGAUGUAACGGGGCUAAACCAUGCACCGAAGCUGCGGCAGCGACGCUGAUGCGUUGUUGGGUAGGGGAGCGUUCUGUAAGCCUGUGAAGGUGUGCUGUGAGGCAUGCUGGAGGUAUCAGAAGUGCGAAUGCUGACAUAAGUAACGAUAAAGCGGGUGAAAAGCCCGCUCGCCGGAAGACCAAGGGUUCCUGUCCAACGUUAAUCGGGGCAGGGUGAGUCGACCCCUAAGGCGAGGCCGAAAGGCGUAGUCGAUGGGAAACAGGUUAAUAUUCCUGUACUUGGUGUUACUGCGAAGGGGGGACGGAGAAGGCUAUGUUGGCCGGGCGACGGUUGUCCCGGUUUAAGCGUGUAGGCUGGUUUUCCAGGCAAAUCCGGAAAAUCAAGGCUGAGGCGUGAUGACGAGGCACUACGGUGCUGAAGCAACAAAUGCCCUGCUUCCAGGAAAAGCCUCUAAGCAUCAGGUAACAUCAAAUCGUACCCCAAACCGACACAGGUGGUCAGGUAGAGAAUACCAAGGCGCUUGAGAGAACUCGGGUGAAGGAACUAGGCAAAAUGGUGCCGUAACUUCGGGAGAAGGCACGCUGAUAUGUAGGUGAAGCGACUUGCUCGUGGAGCUGAAAUCAGUCGAAGAUACCAGCUGGCUGCAACUGUUUAUUAAAAACACAGCACUGUGCAAACACGAAAGUGGACGUAUACGGUGUGACGCCUGCCCGGUGCCGGAAGGUUAAUUGAUGGGGUCAGCGCAAGCGAAGCUCUUGAUCGAAGCCCCGGUAAACGGCGGCCGUAACUAUAACGGUCCUAAGGUAGCGAAAUUCCUUGUCGGGUAAGUUCCGACCUGCACGAAUGGCGUAAUGAUGGCCAGGCUGUCUCCACCCGAGACUCAGUGAAAUUGAACUCGCUGUGAAGAUGCAGUGUACCCGCGGCAAGACGGAAAGACCCCGUGAACCUUUACUAUAGCUUGACACUGAACAUUGAGCCUUGAUGUGUAGGAUAGGUGGGAGGCUUUGAAGUGUGGACGCCAGUCUGCAUGGAGCCGACCUUGAAAUACCACCCUUUAAUGUUUGAUGUUCUAACGUUGACCCGUAAUCCGGGUUGCGGACAGUGUCUGGUGGGUAGUUUGACUGGGGCGGUCUCCUCCUAAAGAGUAACGGAGGAGCACGAAGGUUGGCUAAUCCUGGUCGGACAUCAGGAGGUUAGUGCAAUGGCAUAAGCCAGCUUGACUGCGAGCGUGACGGCGCGAGCAGGUGCGAAAGCAGGUCAUAGUGAUCCGGUGGUUCUGAAUGGAAGGGCCAU
rnacentral:rRNA from 1 species